CUGGCUCAGGAUGAACGCUAGCUACAGGCUUAACACAUGCAAGUCGAGGGGCAGCAUGAGAUCAGCUUGCUGAUCUGAUGGCGACCGGCGCACGGGUGAGUAACGCGUAUCCAACCUUCCCCCUGCUCAGGGAUAGCCCGCUGAAAGGCGGAUUAACACCUGAUAGCUUCACUAGAUGGCAUCUGACGGUGAAUAAAGAUAACGGCAAGGGAUGGGGAUGCGUCUGAUUAGCUUGUUGGCGGGGUAACGGCCCACCAAGGCAACGAUCAGUAGGGGUUCUGAGAGGAAGGUCCCCCACAUUGGAACUGAGACACGGUCCAAACUCCUACGGGAGGCAGCAGUGAGGAAUAUUGGUCAAUGGGCGGAAGCCUGAACCAGCCAAGUAGCGUGCAGGAUGACGGCCCUAUGGGUUGUAAACUGCUUUUGUACGGGAAUAAAGUGACCCACGUGUGGGUUUUUGCAUGUACCGUAAGAAUAAGGACCGGCUAAUUCCGUGCCAGCAGCAGC
rnacentral:rRNA from 1 species